AUGAACGCUAGCUACAGGCUUAACACAUGCAAGUCGAGGGGCAGCAUGAACUUAGCUUGCUAAGUUUGAUGGCGACCGGCGCACGGGUGAGUAACACGUAUCCAACCUGCCGAUGACUCGGGGAUAGCCUUUCGAAAGAAAGAUUAAUACCCGAUGGCAUAGUUCUUCCGCAUGGUGGAACUAUUAAAGAAUUUCGGUCAUCGAUGGGGAUGCGUUCCAUUAGGUUGUUGGCGGGGUAACGGCCCACCAAGCCUUCGAUGGAUAGGGGUUCUGAGAGGAAGGUCCCCCACAUUGGAACUGAGACACGGUCCAAACUCCUACGGGAGGCAGCAGUGAGGAAUAUUGGUCAAUGGACGAGAGUCUGAACCAGCCAAGUAGCGUGAAGGAUGACUGCCCUAUGGGUUGUAAACUUCUUUUAUACGGGAAUAAAGUGAGGCACGUGUGCCUUUUUGUAUGUACCGUAUGAAUAAGGAUCGGCUAACUCCGUGCCAGCAGCCGCGGUAAUACGGAGGAUCCGAGCGUUAUCCGGAUUUAUUGGGUUUAAAGGGAGCGUAGGCGGACGCUUAAGUCAGUUGUGAAAGUUUGCGGCUCAACCGUAAAAUUGCAGUUGAUACUGGGUGUCUUGAGUACAGUAGAGGCAGGCGGAAUUCGUGGUGUAGCGGUGAAAUGCUUAGAUAUCACGAAGAACUCCGAUUGCGAAGGCAGCUUGCUGGACUGUAACUGACGCUGAUGCUCGAAAGUGUGGGUAUCAAACAGGAUUAGAUACCCUGGUAGUCCACACAGUAAACGAUGAAUACUCGCUGUUUGCGAUAUACAGUAAGCGGCCAAGCGAAAGCGUUAAGUAUUCCACCUGGGGAGUACGUUCGCAAGAAUGAAACUCAAAGGAAUUGACGGGGACCCGCACAAGCGGUGGAGCAUGUGGUUUAAUUCGAAGCAACGCGAAGAACCUUACCAAGUCUUGACAUCCCUCUGACCGGAACUUAACCGUUCCUUUCCUUCGGGACAGAGGAGACAGGUGGUGCAUGGUUGUCGUCAGCUCGUGCCGUGAGGUGUCGGCUUAAGUGCCAUAACGAGCGCAACCCUUAUCGAUAGUUACCAUCAGGUGAUGCUGGGGACUCUGUCGAGACUGCCGUCGUAAGAUGUGAGGAAGGUGGGGAUGACGUCAAAUCAGCACGGCCCUUACGUCCGGGGCUACACACGUGUUACAAUGGGGGGUACAGAAGGCAGCUACACGGCGACGUGAUGCUAAUCCCGAAAGCCUCUCUCAGUUCGGAUUGGAGUCUGCAACCCGACUCCAUGAAGCUGGAUUCGCUAGUAAUCGCGCAUCAGCCACGGCGCGGUGAAUACGUUCCCGGGCCUUGUACACACCGCCCGUCAAGCCAUGAAAGCCGGGGGUACCUGAAGUGCGUAACCGCAAGGAGCGCCCUAGGGUAAAACUGGUGAUUGGGGCU
rnacentral:rRNA from 1 species